rnacentral:rRNA from 1 species
UCCGUAGGCGGGAAGAUAAGUCAGUGGUGAAAGCCUGUGGCUCAACCAUAGAAUUGCCAUCGAUACUGUCUUUCUUGAGUGCACAUGAUGUGGGCGGAAUGUGUCGUGUAGCGGUGAAAUGCUUAGAUAUGACACAGAACACCGAUUGCGAAGGCAGCUCACAAAAGUGUAACUGACGCUGAGGGACGAAAGCGUGGGGAGCGAACAGGAUUAGAUACCCUGGUAGUCC